rnacentral:rRNA from 1 species
UACGGAGGGUGCGAGCGUUGUCCGGAAUCAUUGGGCGUAAAGGGCGCGUAGGUGGCCCGGUCAGCGUGCGGUGAAAGCUCGGGGCUCAACCCCGAGUCGGCCGUGCGAACUGCUGGGCUUGAGCACUGUAGAGGCAGGCGGAAUUCCGGGUGUAGCGGUGGAAUGCGUAGAGAUCCGGAAGAACACCGGAGGCGAAGGCGGCUUGCUGGGCUUGGUCUGACGCUGAGGCGCGAAAGCGUGGGGAGCGAACAGG